AGCGAACGCUGGCGGCAGGCCUAACACAUGCAAGUCGAACGGACCCUUCGGGGUUAGUGACGGACGGGUGAGUAACACGUGGGAACGUGCCUUUAGGUUCGGAAUAGCUCCUGGAAACGGGUGGUAAUGCCGAAUGUGCCCUUCGGGGGAAAGAUUUAUCGCCUUUAGAGCGGCCCGCGUCUGAUUAGCUAGUUGGUGAGGUAAUGGCUCACCAAGGCGACGAUCAGUAGCUGGUCUGAGAGGAUGACCAGCCACAUUGGGACUGAGACACGGCCCGAACUCCUACGGGAGGCAGCAGUGGGGAAUCUUGCGCAAUGGGCGAAAGCCUGACGCAGCCAUGCCGCGUGGAUGAUGAAGGUCUUAGGAUUGUAAAAUCCUUUCACCGGUGAAGAUAAUGACUGUAGCCGGAGAAGAAGCCCCGGCUAACUUCGUGCCAGCAGCCGCCGCAGUAA
rnacentral:rRNA from 1 species